rnacentral:rRNA from 1 species
CCUACGGGAGGCAGCAGUGGGGAAUAUUGGACAAUGGGCGAAAGCCUGAUCCAGCCAUGCCGCGUGUGUGAAGAAGGCCUUCGGGUUGUAAAGCACUUUCAGUGGGGAAGAAAGCCUUGGGGCUAAUACCCUCGAGGAAGGACAUCACCCACAGAAGAAGCACCGGCUAACUCCGUGCCAGCAGCCGCGGUAAUACGGAGGAUGCGAGCGUUAAUCGGAAUUACUGGGCGUAAAGCGCGCGUAGGCGGUCUGAUAAGCCGGUUGUGAAAGCCCCGGGCUCAACCUGGGAACGGCAUCCGGAACUGUCAGGCUAGAGUGCAGGAGAGGAAGGUAGAAUUCCCGGUGUAGCGGUGAAAUGCGUAGAGAUCGGGAGGAAUACCAGUGGCGAAGGCGGCCUUCUGGACUGACACUGACGCUGAGGUGCGAAAGCGUGGGUAGCAAACAGGAUUAGAUACCCGAGUAGUC